GACGAACGCUGGCGGCGUGCUUAACACAUGCAAGUCGAACGGAAAGGCCCGGCUUCUGUGGGGUGCUCGUGUGGGGAACGGGUGAGUGACACGUGAGUAACCUGCCCCUGACUUUGGGAUAAAUUCCAGAAACAGGGGACAAUACCGGAUAGGAGCUCCUGCAGCACGGUGGGGGGUGGAAAGUUACGGCGGUUGGGGCAGGUCUCGAGGCAUAUCAGCUAGGUGGUGGGGUAGUGGAUUUCCAAGGCUUUGAAGGGUAGCCGGCCUGAGAGGGUGACCGGGCACAUUGGGACUGAGGGACGGCCCAGACUGCAACGGGCGGCAGGGGUGGAAAAUAUGGCGCAAUAAGCGGAAGGCAGAUGCAGAGACGUCGGGUGCGGAAUGACUGCUUUCGGGUGGUAAACCACUUUCGACGGAAACGAAGAGGGAUUGACGGUAAUGGGUUAAAAAGCCCCGGCUAACUACGUG
rnacentral:rRNA from 1 species